rnacentral:rRNA from 1 species
AUUGAACGCUGGCGGCAGGCCUAACACAUGCAAGUCGAGCGGAUGAAGGGAGCUUGCUCCUGGAUUCAGCAGCGGACGGGUGAGUAAUGCCUAGGAAUCUGCCUGGUAGUGGGGGAUAACGUCCGGAAACGGGCGCUAAUACCGCAUACGUCCUGAGGGAGAAAGUGGGGGAUCUUCGGACCUCACGCUAUCAGAUGAGCCUAGGUCGGAUUAGCUAGUUGGUGGGGUAAAGGCCUACCAAGGCGACGAUCCGUACUGGUCUGAGAGGAUGAUCAGUCACACUGGAACUGAGACACGGUCCAGACUCCUACGGGAGGCAGCAGUGGGGAAUAUUGGACAAUGGGCGAAAGCCUGAUCCAGCCAUGCCGCGUGUGUGAAGAAGGUCUUCGGAUUGUAAAGCACUUUAAGUUGGGAGGAAGGGCAGUAAGUUAAUACCUUGCUGUUUUGACGUUACCAACAGAAUAAGCACCGGCUAACUUCGUG